rnacentral:rRNA from 1 species
UACGAAGGGGGCUAGCGUUGUUCGGAAUCACUGGGCGUAAAGAGCGUGUAGGCGGCUCGAUAAGUCUGCUGUGAAAGUCCAGGGCUCAACCCUGGAAGGCCGGUGGAAACUGUCGGGCUAGAGUCCGGAAGAGGCGAGUGGAAUUCCCGGUGUAGCGGUGAAAUGCGCAGAUAUCGGGAGGAACACCAAUGGCGAAGGCAGCUCGCUGGGACGGUACUGACGCUGAGACGCGAAAGCGUGGGGAGCAAACAGG